GGAAAUUUAGUAGGGAAGCAAGUUUGGACGAGGGCGAGAAAAGUCUUAUGUAUAUCUUCGGCGCCCGUACCGCAAACCGACACAGGUAGAUAGGAAGAGAAUUCUAAGGCCAACGGGAGAAGGGUAGUUAAGGAACUCGGCAAAUUGACCCCGUAACUUAGGAAUAAGGGGUGCCACAGCGAUGUGGUCGCAGAGAAUAGGCCCAGGCAACUGUUUAUCAAAAACACAGGUCUCUGCCAAAUCGAAAGAUGAAGUAUAGGGGCUGACACCUGCCCGGUGCUGGAAGGUUAAGAGGAGAUGUGCAAGCAUGAAUUGAAGCCCCAGUAAACGGCGGCCGUAACAAUAACGGUCCUAAGGUAGCGAAAUUCCUUGUCGGGUAAGUUCCGACCCGCACGAAUGGUGUAAUGAUCUGGGCACUGUCUCAAUUACCCGCCCGGCGAAAUUGUAGUACCGGUGAAGAUGCCGGUUACCCGCGACAAGACGGAAAGACCCCAUGGAGCUUUACUGUAGCUUAAUAUUGGGUUUCGAUAAUUUAUGUAUAGGAUAGGCGGGAGACUAGGAAACCGUGGCGCCAGCCACGGCGGAGUCGACGUUGGAAUACCGCUCUUAAGUUAUUGGAAUUCUAACCUGCGGCCAUGAAUCUGGCCGGGGGACAUUGUUAGGUGGGCAGUUUGACUGGGGCGGUCGCCUCCAAAAAGGUAACGGAGGCGCUCAAAGGUUGGCUCAGCAUGGUUGGAAACCAUGCCUUAGAGUGUAAACGUGUAAGCCAGCCUAACUGCGAGGAUGACGGUCCGAGCAGUAACGAAAGUUGGGUUAGUGAUCCGGCGGUAUGAGAGUGGAAUUGCCGUCGCUCAACGGAUAAAAGCUACCCUGGGGAUAACAGGCUGAUCUCCCCCAAGAGUCCACAUCGACGGGGAGGUUUGGCACCUCGAUGUCGGCUCAUCACAUCCUGGGGCUGUAUUCGGUCCCAAGGGUUCGGCUGUUCGCCGAUUAAAGUGGUACGCGAGCUGGGUUCAGAACGUCGUGAGACAGUUCGGUCCCUAUCUGUCGUGGGCGCAGGAUAUUUGAGGAGAGCUGUCCUUAGUACGAGAGGACCGGGAUGGACGCACCUCUGGCGCACCAGUUGUCACGCCAGUGGCACAGCUGGGCAACUAUGUGCGGAACGGAUAAACGCUGAAAGCAUCUAAGCGUGAAGCCGACUCCAAGAUUAGAUAUCCCAUAGCGUAAGCUAGUAAGACCCCUUGUAGACUACAAGGUUGAUAGGCUGCAUGUGUAAGCACGGUAACGUGUUCAGCUUGGCAGUACUAAUAGGUCGAGGGCUUGACCGA
rnacentral:rRNA from 1 species